GAGGGGUGACUUUAAGAAGAACGAGGUGGAAAAACACAAGAUGGUUCAGCCUGGUGGUGACUCACAGGAAUCGAGUGGGCUUUGAUAUUCCUGUCGUUCUCUGGUUUGUGCCAACCUUGCUGGGUGGAUGCUUGGUUCCUGUCAUUUCUCUCCAUACAGCGUGAAUCGAGGGAUGGAAGGAGAUGGCAAUAGCAUCCAGACUGUGUCUCUAAUAUGGAAGAGUAGAUAUGGGCAUAUUCUCUAUCGUCAGGCACAAAUAAGCAAAGCGAGGACUUGGGCUGGCUCAGGUUUUGCCGACAAGAGGAGGCGACAUGGAACUGGAGUUGCUGUCUCAGACUUCAGGACACGAAGCUCUAGACACAAGAGAUGCAGCCAGCGUCCUGCAGUUCCCCAGUUCCGUGGCUCAGCUUGACAAGGAUGGUUCUUUUCAUGAUUUCCCCUCUUCGUUCUGACACAUCCGAGAAACAGAUCUCUGUUAAUCACUCCUUUUGAUUCUUCCUGUUUCUUGUUCUUUGACAUCUGGGGCUUAACUGUU